GACGAACGCUGGCGGCGUGCUUAACACAUGCAAGUCGAACGGAAAGGCCCUGCUUUUGUGGGGUGCUCGAGUGGCGAACGGGUGAGUAACACGUGAGUAACCUGCCCUUGACUUUGGGAUAACUUCAGGAAACUGGGGCUAAUACCGGAUAGGAGCUCCUGCUGCAUGGUGGGGGUUGGAAAGUUUCGGCGGUUGGGGAUGGACUCGCGGCUUAUCAGCUUGUUGGUGGGGUAGUGGCUUACCAAGGCUUUGACGGGUAGCCGGCCUGAGAGGGUGACCGGUCACAGGGGGAGGGCGCUGCGGCCGUGCGUGGAGGAGGGGGGGGGAGUGGGGAGUAGGGACCGACGGCGGGCAGGGUGAGGCCGCGACGGCGCGUGCGGGGCGCCUGCUGUCGGCUGCGAACGUGCUUUCCGCGGGGGGGGAGGGUGGGUCAGGGGAAGGGAGACCGAAACAGCGGCUAAAUGAGCGCCAGCGGCCGCGGUAAGAUAGAAGAGGCCCACACGCCUGAUC
rnacentral:rRNA from 1 species